rnacentral:rRNA from 1 species
UACGUAGGGGCAAGCGUUAUCCGGAUUUACUGGGUGUAAAGGGAGCGUAGACGGCAUGGCAAGUCUGAUGUGAAAGCCCGGGGCUCAACCCCGGGACUGCAUUGGAAACUGCCAGGCUGGAGUGUCGGAGAGGUAAGAGGAAUUCCUAGUGUAGCGGUGAAAUGCGUAGAUAUUAGGAGGAACACCAGUGGCGAAGGCGUCUUACUGGACGAUCACUGACGUUGAGGCUCGAAAGCGUGGGGAGCAAACAGGAUUAGAUACCCCCGUAGUCCCU